AAAAAAGGCAGGAACAACCGACGUUCGAACGGCUCCUGCAGCUCCCUCCCCCAGCCUUCGCCAACAUUCUCAAAAUUCUUGGCGCUGUUAAAAUAUUAGAAUUGUCCCAGUUGUCAAAGAGAAUGUGUACGUUGAUCCAGGCUGCUAACAUCACAUUUGACCACAUCAUGAUUGCAUUUUCCGAAUCUUCUGGUACAAUAUAAUUUCGCAACAAUAGGGAGGAUCCACAACUCAUUUUGACUUCAAAACUGUAAAACCCGGAGCUUUUAAAAGAACACUGAAGUUUGGACGUCUAGAAAUUCCAGCGAGCUUUGCCGAUCAUACCAAAAUCAGUUGCUAUGCUGCAAACUUUGAAUCUUGCGUACCAGCCUGCCGCCGGUAUUUCUUCUACAUUCAGUUGUAUUAUGUGUCGGGCCCCCCAAAAUGGAGAGCUCUCUUUGAACAAAACUAUUUUAACAAUCACCUUGUGGUGAAGUUGUAUGGCCAAUGAAUAGGCUUCGUUGGAAAUGUAUUCCAGUUGCUUCCCGAGGACAGAGAUUUGGAUGGAAUCGUCAUCGACGGGAUGAAUCAGUUCGAUCUGUAAGAGGUCGAACUUGUCAAAUAAUGACCACAAUCAACUACAAACGGACAAUUCUUAUAACUGGAGCAACUGAUGGAAUUGGAAAACAAACGGCGUUAGAUUUGGCUGCUCAUCCUGAUAAUUUUGUGAUUAUUCAUGGCAGAACCGAGGAAAAAUGCAUUGCGACCAAAGACUGGAUCGGAAAAGAAAACGGGAAUUGUUCAAACAUUGAUUAUGUUGCCGGAGAUUUUGCAGUUUUAAAAGAGGUCGCCAUCAUCGCAGAAGAGGUCGAACGUCGGUUUCCUGAGCUAAAUGUGUUGUUGUGUAAUGCAGGAGUACUGUAUCCAAGAAGAUUGGAGACCAAAGAUGGAAUGGAAUCUACAUUUCAAGUCAACUAUCUUGCUCACUACCUUCUGUGCAAUCUUCUCCUCCCAGUGCUCAGCCACAAUCGAUCAAAUGUGAUUGUAGUUGGAAGUGUGCUUCAUACGUGGCCAUCUUUGGAUUGGGCAGAUGUAAUGGCUACAAAAGAAUACGAGAAAUAUCUACAGUACUCCCGAUCUAAAUUAAUGUGUCAUUUGAUGGCAUUUGCUCUUCAUCGGAGAAUGAAUAUCGCUCGACAACAUGUAAAUGUGAACAUUAUCGAAUUGGGAAAAGAAAAGGAACCGAAUAACAAUGGAAAAUUACGAACAACAUCUGCCCUCUCCUCUUCAAUGUCGACAUUAUCCAUUUGCCGCCAGGCUGGAAAUCUGGCUCAACUCAUCGAGGGCCCAUGUUUGGAAAAAAUAUCUGGAAAAUAUUUGGAUCCAAGUGGUAAACAGAUGAGAAGCGGCUCCGACGCAACCGAUGAACGGCUUCAGGAACGCCUCUGGGCUUAUUCGAAAGAACUUUGCCACGAAUACUUGUAGAUGUACUAAUUGCUGUACAAAAACUAAUUUCAGCUAGAUUUUCAGUCCAAUACCAUUCCAGAUGUUUAGCAUAAAAUGCGUAAACCGGUUCCGCUUCGUUCUCAUCUUGAUUACAAAUGUUCUCGUCUCUAGAUUGUUUGACUGUACAUUUUGAAAAAUUGAAAUAAAUCAUUGUAAAUGUUG
rnacentral:misc_RNA from 1 species